UACGUAGGGGGCUAGCGUUGUCCGGAUUUAUUGGGCGUAAAGGGUGUGUAGGUGGUUUUGUUAGUCUUCUGUUAAAGCUCCCGGCUUAACCGGGAAAGUGCAGAGGAAACGGCAAGACUAGAGGAUGUGAGAGGUUUGCGGAACUCAUGGUGUAGGGGUGAAAUCCGUUGAUAUCAUGGGGAACACCAAAAGCGAAGGCAGCAAACUGGCGCAUUCCUGACACUGAAACACGAAAGCGUGGGUAGCGAAUGGG
rnacentral:rRNA from 1 species